UAUGUGUCUGUGGAUAUCUUUAUGUGAAAACAUUCAUAAAUUUUAUGUAUAUAAAGCAUAGGACAAAGUCAAGACACAGUGGUCCAUGUCCUUUGAAACUCAUCACUAUGGGUACUUCUUAAGGAUUUCUUUUAUUUUUAGUCACAGGUGUAUGUUUGUCUAUGUGGAAUAUAUGCAUAUGUGUACAGUGACCUCAGGGGCAAGAAGAUGGCAGAUGCCCUGGAGCUUAGUUACAGGGGUGGUGUGGGAGAAUUGUCUGUAUUCUGUCAAUCAUAUUUUAAUAAAAUGCUGAUUGACCAGGCAGGCAGUAUAGGCGGGAAAGCCAGACAGGAAGUAGGGGUGGAGCAAAGAGACUGGGAGUAUUCUGGAAGCAGAAGCUCCCUCUGUCAUUCCUGCGCAGACCACCGAAGAGGCAGGAUGUAAUCUGCCCAGCUGAGAAAGGCUGAUUCCAUGGCGCGGCUGCAGUGAACGGGAGCACACAGAAAGCAUGCGUGUGCAGCUGUCUGCAUGUCACAUUCCACCCUUCAGGCUCACACAAAGUGCAGCUCAGAAAGCAAGAUAAACAUGUCUGUCUAUAGACCUCAGCGAUCCUGUUAGCCAACACAUGGUGGGGAGGUGACCAAGUCCGCCUCAACAGAGCCCUGUCGUGUGGUCUCCUGUCGACAGGGGACACCAGCAGCGUCCUCAAGUAGCUCCCCGAUGCUUUUGAUACCCAUUCCCUCUGUCUGUGUUUGGGGAGGUGCACAAUUGUACCCCCAGAACUAGCCCUGUGCCCUCUUUCCCUCUGCUUCAGCACACUGACCUCAGAUGAGAGCCUCAGACUCAGGGUGAUCGAUGUCACCCUGGACCGCUGUCCCCACACGCUAUCCCCACACGCUGAGAAGCAGCCUGCUUGCUCUCUGCUUGGAUGAAGCCAAACCAUCAAACCGCCCUCUGAUGUCGGCUUCUGUGUAAAGCUCUCAAAACAUGUCACCCUAGUCCUAAAGAUGGAAUUAGAACCGCAAUUGAUGAUCAGCUGCCCACAGUGGACUGGAAGAUUCAUGAGAGAGGCCUAUAGAUUGCCCUCAGCACUCUGGCUAGCCUCUGUCCAGGCCCACAGCAGCUCUUGACAAACAACGUUUGAUUAGUCGACAAAAACAUCUCAUACGUACAUUCAAAUAGCCCAUGUAGUAAGAUUAGCUGCCUGUCGUCACAAUUUUACCUGGUAGGUGUACUCUUCCUAAUGAGUACAGAUGGGGAAACCGAGGCUGAAUGAAGAAAUCUUGUGGUUUCUGGGAAGUCGCUUUAUAAUAAGGAAAUGAGGAGUUACCAGAGUCCGGCUUGGUUUCCAGCCUGUGCUCAGGCUGUCUCUGCUGGUGAGAGACGGAGCCUAGAGUGAGCCAGCACUCAGGCUACUGCCUGACAUGUCUCCAAGAGGCUGCAGACUUCUCUUCUGUGAACCAAAGACCACGUUGGCAGAUGGCUGGAGAGCACCAAAGGGUCUCUUAGGGACCUGAGGCUCACUGAUCCAGCUGGACUAGAGAACUUCCCAUCUCUGCCUCCACGGUGCUAGGCUUGUAAACAGGGCACCAGCUCGUAUUUUUUACAUGGAUUCUGGGCAUCUGAGCUCAGACUCUGGGGCAGCAAGCACUUUGAAGACAGAGACAGAGCCAUCUCUCAGCCUGCCCCACAGAUGUUCACCUGAGAUCAGGCAAUUCCCAGAGCCAGGUGCUCAACCCAUGACUGGAAUCUCUCCAAGGACAAAGCCUCCUUUCUACGUGGCAAGGCCUUCACAGUGUGCUGGUGGAACACGGAACAGGAGAACACAGGAAGGCUCUCUGAAACCUAGCCUUCACCCACAUCUACAAAUAGACCAGAGAGCCACCAACCUCAAAUGACAAGUGUUUCCCUUCUCACUUCCCCUAGAGCUUGGAGACAUAUUAUUUUGCAUUUUCAAUUCGCGCUCUAUCUUCAGUUUCAGUGCCGAAUGACAAGAACAUAUUUAUACCUGCGUGUGCAUCUGCCGCACUCUUGCUGCAGGGUCAGAAGCAGACAGCUGUCCUCUGGGUCGGGAAGUUCUGUUUCUCGGUUUCGUAUGUCUAAACUUUAUUUUUGUGUGUAGAAGCAACAGAAACACUCAUGUGAAGCUGUGGGGUUCCCUGGCAGCUGCCACAACUUCAACAGUCCCAAACUCCACAACUUGCUAAAACCAAUGAACAACUGAGACUGAGAAUUGCUUCUGGUCACUGCCAAUAAUGUCACCACUCCACUGUGGCACCUAAUGCAAUUCUUCCUCUGACAUGAUACCCGCUGUGGACACUCCAGGCAGCACCCCAGCAUCAUGAACUCACAAUACCCCUCCUAUAUAGCAUUGAUUUGAAAUUUUAAUGACUGUUUUUGUCUAAGCAGCAUGCUUAUGUCCAGAGACUAAAUGCCCUGAGCCUUAGGACACUAUUUCUAAGAAACCCAGCCGUCUCCUCCAUCCCUUUCUUCCUUGCCCAUGAUGAGAUCCAAUUUUUUCUGCUCUUGGCCAAGGUUUCUGGAACACAAGGGACUUUGAUUCACAGUUGCUUCCCCACUUACAUUUGGUGGACAUACGUGUGGUUUUGUCUCUACCAGAGCCAAUGAUCUCCCUGCCUUCGCACUGGUCCAGGUGUACAGCCAUUGCAUUUUCUCCCGCUGUGCCAUGCGCAGGAGGGUGUGUCCAUCAAAUGUAGGUGGGGUGAUUUGUAACAAGGAAAACUGCAACCAUAACUAUCUAGUCUCCAACCCCAUCAGAGACCCUAGAAGGCUCAAAUAUUACCUGACUAAGGAGGAAGUGCAGAGCAACCAGCUUCCAAAACUAUAGAAAUGGCAAAGACAUCUGGCUGCCUAGGCAGACACCCAGGGUUCCUCUGCAAUGUUGAGGCAUCUGUCUUUGACCUGCAGACCUAGGAUACUUGACAUAUUUUUCUGUGAGGCAGAAAACUUCGUCUUGGCAAAGUUAGGCAGUCACUUUCUUUGGUGUCCAAUGGCUAACUUUUCCACAAUGAAAGCAAAUUCCAUAUGGAGAUUCUUCAACGCCCAUCAUUCUUUUUUGAAGUAGAUUAGUGCUGCCAGGAGCAGACAUGUCUCACUGUUGUGAAAAGCCUUAUGUUAUUAAAACAUCAGCCAAUUUUUCAUAUUUGGCACUGAUAUAAAAGCACUUUUUAAAAAAAUAAAACAUGAGUUACCAAACUGAUAAUGAUUAUAAUCAACCUUAUUUCAAUCUCAGCUAAAUUGAUGGUCCUGUCAUUUAAUAUUUUCAUUUUCAAACCAUCCGUUGUGGAACCAUAUAGAAACCUAACUGCCUGCACUGUAAUGUUCUCCAUUCUUAGCAUAGGGAAAAAAUAUUUUUCAAACCAUCCCCACCCUUAAGAAUUGCCUGGUGUCCACCAGCUCUGCUGACAAGGACAGUGAAAGUGAAGGUGUUGAGGCAGCUGGUCUGGCGUGACAGCGGCCUGAGGAAGGAGGGGGAGAGGGAGCAAGACACUUGAGAAGCAGACAAAGGCCUGCAUGGUGGGAAGCAAAGGCAGGGGGCCGCCUGAAUGAUAGAGCCAGCCAGUAAAGGGGAGGGGGAAUUUGGGACCUAGCCACUUGUGGCCUUGAGUAUGCAAUUUGGGGUCUUUAAACAAAAGUUUUUAAAUCUCUGUAAGUUUCUCUCACGUGGGUAGAGUCUUAAAGCGUUGGCUGUUGCGGUUUUGCUUCCAAACCAUUUUUGCUGACUUUUCAAUUCUUUAGUUAUUCAUUCCACUCGCCUGCCCUUUCUCCUCUGAAAAGCUCCGAAGCCGUGCAUGUCUCCAUCCAUGAUGCAACCAUCAUCACUUUGGGACCGGCUUUCCAUUCCCCCAGAAGAAGAGACACAAAAGGAAUGCCUCCCACUAGUUAUCCUGUAAGCUGUAAUGUUUUCCCUGUCUCUUUUAAACUGCUUUUCUCUGGCUCCAUGACGCAGCACAGGUGUCUAUCAGCAGCUCCCUAAAGGUCCUUCAGAGAGAUCAAAGGGCCUCUGGUCCAGGGCAGCUAGAGAUCUCUGCUUCAGCCAAUAGUCGCAGAAGCACGAGCCCACGGUGCUGUGGGAGCGCCUUCCGCUCCAUCAGCCAAUAGCCGCUGAA